AGAGUUUGAUCCUGGCUCAGGACGAACGCUGGCGGUGUGCUUCACACAUGCAAGUCGCACGGAGUAGCAAUACUCAGUGGCGGACGGGUGAGUAACACGUGGGAAUCUACCAUUAGGUGGGGAAUAACAGGCCGAAAGGACUGCUAAUGCCGCAUAUGUAGGCAUCUCGACAGAGAUGUUUAUGAAAGGAGUAAUCCGCCUUUUGAUGAGCCCGCGUCCGAUUAGCUAGUUGGUAGGGUAAAAGCCUACCAAGGCGACGAUCGGUAGGUGGUCUGAGAGGAUGAUCACCCACAAUGGGACUGAGACACGGCCCAUACUCCUACGGGAGGCAGCAGUGGGGAAUUUUACGCAAUGGGGGAAACCCUGACGUAGCGACACCGCGUGAGCGAAGAAGCCCUUUGGGGUGUAAAGCUCUGUCAACAGGAACGAAACAAAUGACGGUACCUGUGGAGGAAGCAGCGGCUAACUACGUGCCAGCAGCCGCGGUAAGACGUAGGAUGCAAGCGUUGUCCGGAUUUAUUGGGCGUAAAGAGUUCGUAGGCGGUUUGUUAAGUCUGAUGUUAAAGACCGGGGCUCAACCUCGGAAAUGCAUUGGAUACUGGCAGACUGGAGUGCAGUAGAGGCUAGUGGAAUUCCCAGUGUAGCGGUGAAAUGCGUAGA
rnacentral:rRNA from 1 species